rnacentral:rRNA from 1 species
AGAGUUUGAUCAUGGCUCAGAAUCAACGCUGGCGGCGUGCCUCAGACAUGCAAGUCGAACGAUUAAAGCUCUCUUCGGAGAGUGUAUAAAGUGGCGCACGGGUGAGUAACACGUAAGUAAUUUACCUUCGGGUGGGGAAUAACUCAAGGAAACUUGAGCUAAUACCGCAUAAUGCAGCGGCUCCUUAGGGAGACAGUUGUUAAAGCAUUUAUGCGCCUGAAGAGAAGCUUGCGGCAGAUUAGCUAGUUGGUAAGGUAAUGGCUUACCAAGGCGACGAUCUGUAGCCGGCCUGAGAGGGCGGUCGGUCACACUGACACUGAAUAACGGGUCAGACUCCUACGGGAGGCAGCAGUCGGGAAUUUUGGGCAAUGGGCGAAAGCCUGACCCAGCAACGCCGCGUGAAGGAUGAAGUCCCUCGGGAUGUAAACUUCGGAAAUAUGGGAAGAAUAAAUGACGGUACCAUAUCUAAGGUCCGGCUAACUACGUGCCAGCAGCCGCGGUAAUACGUAGGGACCAAGCGUUGUUCGGAUUUACUGGGCGUAAAGGGUGCGUAGGCGGCGCGUCAAGUCACUUGUGAAAUCUCCGGGCUUAACUCGGAACGGCCAAGUGAUACUGUCGUGCUAGAGUGCAGAAUGGGCAACUGGAAUUCUUGGUGUAGCGGUGAAAUGCGUAGAUAUCAAGAGGAACACCUGAGGCGAAGGC